CCAGGCUGGCUUUGUAGACCAGGCUGGCCUCAAAUUCACAGAGAUCCACCUGCCUCUGCUUCCCCAGUGCUGGGAU
ensembl:miRNA predicted gene, 24330